CUACGGGAGGCAGCAGUAAGGAAUAUUGGUCAAUGGACGCAAGUCUGAACCAGCCAUGCCGCGUGCAGGAUGACAGCCCUAUGGGUUGUAAACUGCUUUUGUACGGGAAAAAACCUCCGGUCGUGAACCGGAGCUGAUGGUACCGUAAGAAUAAGCAUCGGCUAACUCCGUGCCAGCAGCCGCGGUAAUACGGAGGAUGCAAGCGUUAUCCGGAUUCAUUGGGUUUAAAGGGUGCGCAGGCGGAAUGAUAAGUCAGUGGUGAAAUCCUACAGCUUAACUGUAGAACUGCCAUUGAUACUGUCGUUCUUGAGUACAGUUGGAGUGGGCGGAAUGUGUCAUGUAGCGGUGAAAUGCUUAGAUAUGACACAGAACACCAGUCGCGAAGGCAGCUCGCUAAACUGUAACUGACGCUCAUGCACGAAAGCGUGGGGAUCAAACAGGAUUAGAUACCCCGGU
rnacentral:rRNA from 1 species